CAGUAGCCGCGGUAAUACGUAGGGUGCGAGCGUUGUCCGGAAUUAUUGGGCGUAAAGAGCUUGUAGGCGGUCUGUCGCGUCUGCUGUGAAAACCCGAGGCUCAACCUCGGGCCUGCAGUGGGUACGGGCAGACUAGAGUGCGGUAGGGGAGAACGGAACUCCUGGUGUAGCGGUGGAAUGCGCAGAUAUCAGGAAGAACACCGAUGGCGAAGGCAGUUCUCUGGGCCGUAACUGACGCUGAGAAGCGAAAGCGUGGGGAGCGAACAGGAUUAGAUACCCGCGUAGUCCCUGUCUCUUAUAA
rnacentral:rRNA from 1 species